rnacentral:rRNA from 1 species
GAUGAACGCUAGCGGCAGGCUUAAUACAUGCAAGUCGAGGGGCAGCACAGAUAGCAAUAUUGGGUGGCGACCGGCAAACGGGUGCGGAACACGUACACAACCUUCCUUUUAGUGUGGGAUAGCCCAGAGAAAUUUGGAUUAAUACCACAUAGUAUAUUGGAGUGGCAUCACUUUGAUAUUAAAGAUUUAUCGCUAAAAGAUGGGUGUGCGUAUGAUUAGGUAGUUGGUAGAGGUAACGGCUCACCAAGCCUUCGAUCAUUAACUGGUGUGAGAGCACGACCAGUCACACGGGCACUGAGACACGGGCCCGACCCCUACGGGAGGCAGCAGUAAGGAAUAUUGGUCAAUGGACGGAAGUCUGAACCAGCCAUGCCGCGUGAAGGAUGACGGCCCUCUGGGUUGUAAACUUCUUUUAUGUGGGACGAAAAAGGGCCAUUUUUGGUCAACUGACGGUACCAUAGGAAUAAGCACCGGCUAACUCCGUGCCAUCCGCCGCCGUAA